rnacentral:lncRNA from 1 species
CUCCGACUGUGGACUGUGAUGGCAAAUUCUGUUGGAGAAUGGAGUGUUGGGCCUUUCUUUUUUAAUUAGGCUGACCCAAAUUAAAAAGCCCAAAUGGUUAAAAAAUGCAGAUCACUUACAUGUUUACCACAGAGGCAGAGGUCCAUUAACAUUCCACUCCACAUUCCACUCCACUCUCCUAUCUCUUCAGCAGUCCGUCCGCAUAGCACAACGCCCCUCAGCCGCAGUCGAUUUCAAAAUCAAUUUCCCCUUUCCCCCAAAUCCAAUUCCUUCCCAACGUGGUGCGUGAGCAUAAAGCAGGCCUGCAAACUGUCAACUGGUAUGAAAUACGAAUUGUGAAUUUGUGAUAUGAUUUCAAUUUCAAUUUUCAAGUAUGACAUUAAAUUGGGGCACGUUUAUUGUUUAUGUUUAAUUAUUAUUAUUAUUAUUAUUUUAUUUUAUUUUUGAGUAAUUUGUUGUGCUCUCUCUCUCUCUCUCUCUCUUUCUCUGCAUUGGUAAUUUGGUAUUGAUUUUUAGUUAGGGUUUUGAAUUUUGUAUUGUUUCAUCUUAGGCUUACAACCUACUUACUAUUUGGGGAUUUUGUUGAAAUUGGUUUUAUUGUAAUGUUUUCAAUUGAGCGGUUUAGAGAUUUGCGGUAUUUUUAAGUUUUAUUUGUAAAUAGUCUUGUCCUUUUGAGUUUUUAUUUAAGUUUUUAUGAAUUGGAUUUAUUGUGAUUUAAGUUUUUAUAAAUUGUUUAUGGCUUUUAAUAAAUGGUGGAAAUUGAAAAGUAAAUAAGUAAUGGGAGAAACCGGAAACGGGUUCGAUAACAAAAGUUGGGGCAUUUAAUUUCUACAUUUUAGUGCAUUUACAUAUAUAUUGAAUAAUUUUUAAUAUUAUUUAAUCAAAUUUUAAUAAACGAUCGGCCGCUGAUCGAACCGGGCUUUUAUGAUCGUUAAUUGUUGACGAUCAAAGUCAACCUCCGUCCUAAAGCAAUGUUGAUGCUGGAUUCGUCCUUGCUUGUGACAGACACUCAUCCCAAUAUGUUCAGCUAUAUAAAAAUACAUAGAAUGACAAAAACUCAAUCAAAGUUGAAAUCCUAAAAACCCCUAGACAAGUGUUGACCUCAUUUUCUGUUGAGGUGACGCGAACAACAAAUAUUGGACCCACUUUUGUACACGUAAGCAAAUUUUGAUACAACAUGGCCAAGUUGCUAGUCAACAAUACUCAGAAUUUGCAUGUGGGAGGAGCUUUAUCACACGAACCAAAUAUGUUUGGGCUCCGACAAUAUAUUUUGGGAACGAUUGUGUAAUAAUAACCAAUCUUAAACAACUAAGAGAAAACCAAAUAACUAAACUCUAGCAAAGCAAAUGUAUAAUCCGCAAGAGAGAAUGCAAAGAGUAGCUUUAAGUGUAUUGAAUUGUAUUACCCUUCAAAUGAUACGAGGGGGUUAUUUAUAGUACUAUAUAUGAAACAUUAUCCAUUAGAUAAAUAUAUACAUGGCUUCAUCUCUAGAACUGAAGCGUCCAAUCUUAGUUAAUUCGAACUUACUAGUCUGUAGCGCAUUUAAUGUUUUUAUAGAUAGCAAUCACGCUAUAGCCUAAACUGACAAGACUUUAACAUUUCAUUCAUUACAAAAGUCACAUCAAUCAUUCAAAAAUGAUCAUAUAUAAAUUCAAGACCUUCAUGUGUGGAUUGUCACCUAUUGUGGUUGAGCUUCGAUUUUGACUUUUGUUGAGCUUCGUCACUUCGUCAGGCAAAUGAAGCACGACUUCGACGCUUCAAAUUUACAAACUUCAAUAAUCCAUGUGUCCACAUUGCAAGGGCAUUAGGGGUCAAUCACAUGGAACCUAUGUGGCAAGGCGUAACAAAGUGAAUGUAGCUCUUCACUAUUGAUAUGUCGAUACUUUCUAUUUUAUUCAUAUUAUGGCUUAAUCCAUAAGAAAACUUCUAAAUUUUUAAAUCUUUUAUAUGAUUUGAGUCAAAAUCGUAUAUAUGGAAGGGUCAUCAGUUUGAGUCCUCUCAGAGCCAUUGAGGUGAAUACCUCAGCUGUAAACUUCAGGACUUGAGAUUAGUCGAGGUGCGCGUAAGUUGGCUCGAACACCUACGGUUAUUAAAAAAAAUAAAAAGUAAAAUCGCAUAAAUGGAAGACUGAAACUCAUGAAAGUUUUUAAUAUUUCUGAGUGAUAUAAUUGUUUCCCACAAGUUUCACAUAGUAGGGCUCAUGUAAGGUGUUUAAACCUACUGCCUUUCUCUCCAUUUUAUUUCUCUCGUUUGCAGCGAUGGAGGAAGCCAAUCAGCCACUUGUGUCAAACCUGUAGUCUUCUGGUGCAGACAAAGACAUUGAUCAGCCCAUUAAAAGUGUUAAAGAUUUCGCUAGAGAAUUUUCGAUUAAGUCGAGAAAGUUAUGGUACCUUGUAGGUCCUGCCGUCUUGACCUCUCUUUGCCAAUACUCACUUGGAUCAAUUACUCAAACAUUUGCAAGACAUGUGGGCACCAUUCAAUUUGUAGCUGUUUCGAUUGAAAUGAAUGUCUUUGCUGGUGUUGCUUUUGGAAUCAUGGUAAUUCUACCGUAUUAAGUUUGUGUCUAUUCUGAUAUCAUGUUGAACCAAUUUCAUCUAAAACUUUAUUUCUCGCGAUUGUGAUGGCUGUUAGGUAUGGGAAGUGCCCUAGAAACACUUUGUGGACAAGCUUAUGGAGCUGGGCAACUGGAUAUGCUUGGGGUCUACGUGAAAGAUCCUGGCUUAUUCUCAACAUUGCAGCAAUCCCAAUUUUAUUUCUAUACAUUUUUGCAGAGCCGAUUAUGAAACUAAUAGGUCAAACUCCUGAAAUAUCCAAAUGGGUUGGGAUUUUUUCUCUGUGGAUCAUCGGAUGAUCCCAGAACUUUUUGCUUAUGCGUUCAAUUUUCCCAUUCAAAAGUUCUUACAAUCUCAGAGCAAGAUAGUGGCCAUGGCGGCGAUAUCAGGGGCGGUGGUGAUUUUACAAGCUUUUUUUUAGCUGGCUUUUGAUGCUGAAGUUGAAGUGGGGACUGGGCGCAGCAACCGGGAUGCUCAACUUCUCAUGGUGGCGCAACUCUUGUAUAUUUUUAGUGGGACUUGUGGCGAGGCUUGGUCGGGGUUUUCUUGGAAAACUUUUCAGAAUCUAUGGGGUUUUGUCAAAUUAUCUCUUGCAUCAGCUGUAAUGAUUUGGUGAGUCUCUUACAAUAUGAAAAAAAAUGUAGUAUUUUUAUAAAUAUUUAAAGAUUAUAAUUCUUCUACUAAUUUUCAAAAAUGUUGGCAGCUUGGAACUGUGGUACUUUGUAGUAUUAAUUUUUUUUUGCUGGAUACCUAAAAAGGAAAUUGCUAUUUGUACAUUUUCCUCUACCUAGUGGAUGACACAAUGACAUGGAAAGGUGUCUAUUUUAAAAAUUUUUAACACAAGAAAAACCUUGGCAUGUGAAUUAUUGGGCCGGGUUUUACAAAUACAAUAACGGGUCUAGCAACAAAAUCUUUUAUAAGAAAAGACGGGUUAUUCAAAAAUCAUCGGUAUAUUGCCCGUGAAGAAAAUGCCCCCAAAUUUGGAAACCUACCGCCCAGCUUAGACAUAGUCGUUUUCGACUUGAAGGUUUUGCCGGUGAGAGAAAGAGCAGUUCCGACUUGCAGGUGGUGUCGUUGUCAUCAUUGUUUCCGGCUUGAAUGUUUCACCCGUGAGAAACCUUGUUGUUCCAGGUUCAAGCUAUUGCAGGCUUCAUUGAUUUGAAUAGAAGAUGGAUAGAGGUAGAGAAAGUUUAUUUCGGAUUUUAAUUGUAUUCCUCGCUCUUUUGCCAAACAACUUAGGAAGUUCUUAAAGAAGUCUAAGUAAUCUGUUAAUUUUUUCUUUCUUUUACACAUGAUAUAGUAGUGGUUUUUUUUUUUUUUUUUUUUUUUUUUUUAUUUUUUUUAUUUUUUUUUUUUUUUUUUUUUUUUGUUCUUUUUAUUAUUUUUGUAAUCUGUUAUUUGUCUUACUUUGUCACAAAACUUGGGGAUAGCUUGAAUGCUUUGAGAUCACACAUUUAUUGUCUAUUCUUUUAAACUUGUUCACAAAUAUGGGGAAAGAAGAAAUUAAACAAAAAAACAAGGAAAACUACACGCAUCUGAAUUGAAAAAAGAAAAGAAGAAUGCUGAUUUCAAUUCAAUAUUUGAUUUGUGAAUUAGUUGAAACCUUGUUAUUGGUUUUUUUACUGUAGGCAACAAAAAAUCGGAAGAGGUUGACGACGUCAUUCUAUUAGAAGACGAAAAUGACAACAAUUGGGAGAGGUUGAACCGAUCGUACAAGCACAUCAUCAAGUGGUGAAUGAACACAUGCCGGCACCAAUCUCAUGUACACAACUUCUAUUGGUUCGUUUAAUUCAAUUGAUCAAUGCAUUUGAUUUUCAUGUUUUAGUUACAUUGUUAUAUUGUGCAGGGUGAGGGCAACAAUGAGGUAGCACCGCAACAAGGAAUGUCUCCAAUGAGCUUCCCAUCGGCUUCAAUGAGUUUUAUAUUCAAUGGUCAAGGUAUGCAGUUAAACAUACGUAAUUUAUUUAAAGUCAUGCUCUAGUUUGUGUAAUAAAUUUUCUAUUUCACGGUGGGGAAUGCAAUGCCGUACUACUAUCCAAAUGUAUCUCACCAACAUGACGCAAACAUGUGAUUUUGGUUAAACAAAAUUGAUGCAGUAAUAUUCUCAUGGUAAUAGUUUGCAGACAUUAGUUGAUAGUGCUUCAUGUUUUACCAUUAGUUGACUGUGACAAUGGAAGCAACUUGUAGCUCUCCUUCCUUAUAUAUGUGACAGGAGUAUUCUAUGUAUCAAUUUAGUUUAUGAAAUACAGGCAGGUGUAUUCAGUUAUUGGUGUAUUCAGUUACUUGUAGCUCAACUUGUAUAAAUUACUGGUGUAUUUAGUUACCAUCAAUACAAGCAGGUUGGGAAACUGGAAACAACAAUAUUUUUUCAAUCAC